UACGAAGGGUCCAAGCGUUGUUCGGAAUCAUUGGGCGUAAAGCGCGCGCAGGCGGAUCAGCAAGUCAGGUGUGAAAUCUCGGGGCUCAACCCCGAAACUGCGCCUGAAACUGCUAGUCUAGAAUAUCGGAGGGGGCAGGGGAAUUUCACGGUGUAGGGGUAAAAUCCGUAGAGAUGUGAAGGAACACCGGGGGCGAAGGCGCCUGCCUGGACGAUUAUUGACGCUGAGGCGCGAAAGCGUGGGGAGCAAACAGG
rnacentral:rRNA from 1 species